GAUUAAGUUAUUAAGGGCGCACGGUGGAUGCCUUGGCACUAGAAGCCGAUGAAGGACGUUACUAACGACGAUAUGCUUUGGGGAGCUGUAAGUAAGCUUUGAUCCAGAGAUUUCCGAAUGGGGAAACCCAGCAUGAGUUAUGUCAUGUUAUCGAUAUGUGAAUACAUAGCAUAUCAGAAGGCACACCCGGAGAACUGAAACAUCUUAGUACCCGGAGGAAGAGAAAGAAAAUUCGAUUCCCUUAGUAGCGGCGAGCGAAGCGGGAAGAGCCCAAACCAACAAGCUUGCUUGUUGGGGUUGUAGGACACUCUAUACGGAGUUACAAAGGACGACAUUAGACGAAUCAUCUGGAAAGAUGAAUCAAAGAAGGUAAUAAUCCUGUAGUCGAAAAUGUUGUCUCUCUUGAGUGGAUCCUGAGUACGACGGAGCACGUGAAAUUCCGUCGGAAUCUGGGAGGACCAUCUCCUAAGGCUAAAUACUCUCUAGUGACCGAUAGUGAACCAGUACCGUGAGGGAAAGGUGAAAAGCACCCCGGAAGGGGAGUGAAAUAGAACCUGAAACCGUGUGCUUACAAGUAGUCAGAGCCCGUUAAUGGGUGAUGGCGUGCCUUUUGUAGAAUGAACCGGCGAGUUACGAUUUGAUGCAAGGUUAAGCAGUAAAUGUGGAGCCGUAGCGAAAGCGAGUCUGAAUAGGGCGUUUAGUAUUUGGUCGUAGACCCGAAACCAGGUGAUCUACCCUUGGUCAGGUUGAAGUUCAGGUAACACUGAAUGGAGGACCGAACCGACUUACGUUGAAAAGUGAGCGGAUGAACUGAGGGUAGCGGAGAAAUUCCAAUCGAACCUGGAGAUAGCUGGUUCUCUCCGAAAUAGCUUUAGGGCUAGCCUCAAGUGAUGAUUAUUGGAGGUAGAGCACUGUUUGGACGAGGGGCCCCUCUCGGGUUACCGAAUUCAGACAAACUCCGAAUGCCAAUUAAUUUAACUUGGGAGUCAGAACAUGGGUGAUAAGGUCCGUGUUCGAAAGGGAAACAGCCCAGACCACCAGCUAAGGUCCCAAAAUAUAUGUUAAGUGGAAAAGGAUGUGGCGUUGCCCAGACAACUAGGAUGUUGGCUUAGAAGCAGCCAUCAUUUAAAGAGUGCGUAAUAGCUCACUAGUCGAGUGACACUGCGCCGAAAAUGUACCGGGGCUAAACAUAUUACCGAAGCUGUGGAUUGUCCUUUGGACAAUGGUAGGAGAGCGUUCUAAGGGCGUUGAAGCAUGAUCGUAAGGACAUGUGGAGCGCUUAGAAGUGAGAAUGCCGGUGUGAGUAGCGAAAGACGGGUGAGAAUCCCGUCCACCGAUUGACUAAGGUUUCCAGAGGAAGGCUCGUCCGCUCUGGGUUAGUCGGGUCCUAAGCUGAGGCCGACAGGCGUAGGCGAUGGAUAACAGGUUGAUAUUCCUGUACCACCUAUAAUCGUUUUAAUCGAUGGGGGGACGCAGUAGGAUAGGCGAAGCGUGCGAUUGGAUUGCACGUCUAAGCAGUAAGGCUGAGUAUUAGGCAAAUCCGGUACUCGUUAAGGCUGAGCUGUGAUGGGGAGAAGACAUUGUGUCUUCGAGUCGUUGAUUUCACACUGCCGAGAAAAGCCUCUAGAUAGAAAAUAGGUGCCCGUACCGCAAACCGACACAGGUAGUCAAGAUGAGAAUUCUAAGGUGAGCGAGCGAACUCUCGUUAAGGAACUCGGCAAAAUGACCCCGUAACUUCGGGAGAAGGGGUGCUCUUUAGGGUUAACGCCCAGAAGAGCCGCAGUGAAUAGGCCCAAGCGACUGUUUAUCAAAAACACAGGUCUCUGCUAAACCGUAAGGUGAUGUAUAGGGGCUGACGCCUGCCCGGUGCUGGAAGGUUAAGAGGAGUGGUUAGCUUCUGCGAAGCUACGAAUCGAAGCCCCAGUAAACGGCGGCCGUAACUAUAACGGUCCUAAGGUAGCGAAAUUCCUUGUCGGGUAAGUUCCGACCCGCACGAAAGGCGUAACGAUUUGGGCACUGUCUCAACGAGAGACUCGGUGAAAUCAUAGUACCUGUGAAGAUGCAGGUUACCCGCGACAGGACGGAAAGACCCCGUGGAGCUUUACUGUAGCCUGAUAUUGAAAUUCGGCACAGCUUGUACAGGAUAGGUAGGAGCCUUUGAAACGUGAGCGCUAGCUUACGUGGAGGCGCUGGUGGGAUACUACCCUAGCUGUGUUGGCUUUCUAACCCGCACCACUUAUCGUGGUGGGAGACAGUGUCAGGCGGGCAGUUUGACUGGGGCGGUCGCCUCCUAAAAGGUAACGGAGGCGCUCAAAGGUUCCCUCAGAAUGGUUGGAAAUCAUUCAUAGAGUGUAAAGGCAUAAGGGAGCUUGACUGCGAGACCUACAAGUCGAGCAGGGUCGAAAGACGGACUUAGUGAUCCGGUGGUUCCGCAUGGAAGGGCCAUCGCUCAACGGAUAAAAGCUACCCCGGGGAUAACAGGCUUAUCUCCCCCAAGAGUUCACAUCGACGGGGAGGUUUGGCACCUCGAUGUCGGCUCAUCGCAUCCUGGGGCUGUAGUCGGUCCCAAGGGUUGGGCUGUUCGCCCAUUAAAGCGGUACGCGAGCUGGGUUCAGAACGUCGUGAGACAGUUCGGUCCCUAUCCGUCGUGGGCGUAGGAAAUUUGAGAGGAGCUGUCCUUAGUACGAGAGGACCGGGAUGGACAUACCUCUGGUGUACCAGUUGUCGUGCCAACGGCAUAGCUGGGUAGCUAUGUAUGGACGGGAUAAGUGCUGAAAGCAUCUAAGCAUGAAGCCCCCCUCAAGAUGAGAUUUCCCAACUUCGGUUAUAAGAUCCCUCAAAGAUGAUGAGGUUAAUAGGUUCGAGGUGGAAGCAUGGUGACAUGUGGAGCUGACGAAUACUAAUCGAUCGAAGACUUAAUCAA
rnacentral:rRNA from 1 species